rnacentral:lncRNA from 1 species
CUUUUUUGUCUUUUCAGGGCCUCACCUGCAGCAUAUGCAAGUUCCCAGGCUAGUGGGCGAAUCGGAAAUGUAGCUGCCAGCCUACACCACAGCCACAGCAACCCCAGAUCUGAGUAGCAUCUGUGACCUACAGAUCCUUAACUCGCUGAGCGAGGCCAGGGAUCGAACCCACGUCCUCAAGGACGCUAGUCGGGUUCAUUACCAUUAAGCCACAUUGGGAACUCCCACAGGUUUCUAAUAUGGAACAGGUUGCGGGGAGAAUUAAACAAGAUGAAGAAUGGGAAAAAGAGUAAAUAUUCUCAACCCUCGGGGGUCCUUUCUCUAUCCCCAGACUCUCAGACCAGCCGGAAUCUGAUUAUAAAUACAGUCUUUCUGUUGCAUCUAUUCUUUCGCCUUUCUUUCUCCUGGGACAGUGACAACAGGACUCUUGGUGGCUUUCCUUGUGCCUGGCAGACAUGGCAGGAUGUGGUCCUGGGAGGCUCUGGCUCCCAGUGCGGGGAUCGGUAGUUGAAGAGGAGCCAAACCUAGCCGUGGCACAGUGGGGCUGGCGGCGUCUCUGCAGCAGGCCCGGCACAGUUUGCGUAGGUCCCAGCUGCGGCGAGGAUCUUAUCCCGGCCCGGGACCUCCGUAUGCCCCGGGGUGGCCAGAAAAGGGAAAAAAGAGAGUGAGUGAGAGGCUAACUUAUAUCAGUGGCCGCUCCUCUGGGAAGUAUGUCUCCCCUCCCAGGAGGCAGAAAAUCAGACUUCAAGUUUACCGUCUUGCUUUUAAGGCAGCACGUCUGCAGUAACUCUACUGCCCACGUCUCAGUUUCGUCCCCUUGACAUUUUGUCAGUCCCGAGAUGCGUGGUUUUCUGGAGUCUCUUACCAUCGCUGGCAUCCACGGCAGCAUUUGCCCCUCGGUACAGCGGAGGGAGUCUUGCUUGGAGUGGUGAAACAUGGUGUUAUUUUAACACACGGCAAGGCCAUGUUGAGCUGUAUCUUUAGCAAUCGUCGUGGACUCGUGGUGGUAUAUUCAACGGAUCCUCAAAUUCAACAUUUUAUGUUAAAUAUUUCUUUUAAAAGUUAUUGUGUAUUCAUUUUGGAUAAAGUAUUGUUAUGCAUUUAUUCUAAUGAAAAUAGUUUAACAUUUAUUGAGCACAUUAUGUGUCCGACAUUGUUCUAAGAUCUCUACGUGUGUUAGCUAAUUUAGUCUGCACAAUAACCUCAUGAAUUAAUUACUGUUAUCCUUAGCUGUCAGAUGACACAGAGAUUAAGUAAUUUCCUAUGGUCACACAGCUACUAAGUGGCAGCACCCGGAUUCAGGCCCAGGCACUGGAGCUCCAGAACAUCCGUGCUCUAUAUUACAUUUAUCUUUAUUUUCUUUAGCUACAUAGGGGUGAGUCAGUUCUUAGGUUUUUUUCCAGCAUUUACUUUAUUUUUUUUCUGGGCCACUCCCGCAGCGUGUGGAAGUUACAGGCCAGGGAUUGAACCUGUGCCAGAUCCUUAGCCUGCUGAGCCACUGGGGAACUCCCCAAGACACAGUUUCAUUAUAGCUUUAUUUGCUAUAUCAUCAUCAUUGUCUACUUGUUUUAAAAUAGGGUUUAAGGUUUAAGAAAAAAGCCUUUUGUUUUUUUAAAUUUUUUUCAUUAUAGCUGGUUUACAGUGUUCUUUCAGUUUUCCACUGUACAGCACGGUGACCCAGUCACACAUACAUGUGUACAUUCUUUCUUCUCACAUUAUCCUGCUCCAUCAUAAGUGACGAGACAUAGUUCCCAGCGCUACACAGCAGGAUCUCAUUGCUAAUCCAUUCCAAAGGCAAUAGUCUGCAUCUAUGAACCCCAAGUUCCCCAUCCAUCCCACUCCCUCCCCCUCCCCCUUGGCAACCACAAGUCUGUUCUCCACGUCCAUGAGUUUCUUUUCUGUGGAAAGCUUCCUUUGUGCCAUGUAUUAGAUCCAGAUAUAAGUGAUAUCACGUGGUAUUUGUCUUUCUUUUUGUGACAUUCUUCACUCAGGAUGAGAGUCUCUAGUUCCAUCCAUGUUGCUGCAAAGGAAAAAAGUCUUUUAACAACUCCAUUGUGGCUCAGUUGGUUAAGAACCAGACAUAGUGUCCAUGCGGAUGCCAGCUCAGUCCAUGGCCUUGCUAAGUGGGUUAAGGAUUUGGUGUUGCCACAAGCUGCAGUGUAGGUCACAGAUGUGGCUUGGAUCCGGUGUUGCUGUGGCUGCCAUGUAGGCUGGCAGCUGAAGCUCCAUAUCAAACCUUAGCCCAGGAACUUCCAUAUGCCGCAGGCACAUCUGUAGAAAGAAAAGUCUAGAGCCCGUGUAAAUUAUAUUUAUAGGGAAAAAUCAUUUUUUUAAACAUCAAAUAUCUUUGUUCCUAUAGUUAUUUUGGAACAAUGUUCAAUUUUUGCUUAAUAAUCUAAUGACUUCUUUUUAGUGUCCUUUAUCCCAUUAUUACUCAUGGAUUAGGCCAUUACAUUAAAGUUUGUACAUAAAUUGGAUAUAUUCACUUUAUUUGCAGUCCUAUCGUCUUUCCUAUAGUGGCCGUUCUGUGGUCGGCCUUAGACUGUAUCACCAUGGGAGGUGCUCGGUGUUAGGUUACAAUCUGAAAUAGCACUGUACGUAUUUUCUUUAUAUUCUAUUAUUGAACAGUGUUAAUGCUUAGUAAAUAUGAAUAGAUGAGUAACAUAUGUACUUACAAAGUCAUGACUGCAGCAGAGUUUUGUUUUUUGUUGUUUGUUUAAUGAUUCUAGUCGCUGUCUUCUAAUAAGAAAAGGAAAGAAAAUAGGCAAAAUGGGACCCUUCGUCUUUCAUGAUGACUAGUUGCUAAAGAUAAGGGGACCGAGAUCCAGAAACAUACACCUUUUCCAUUAACAACCGUCCAUGAGGUGUUUAUCACUCGCUCCUAAGACUCUUGGCAUUAUCAGCAUCAUCUUCAUUUUGAGAAAACUAAAGAUUUGGGAGUCUGAGACCUCUCCCCACCCCGCCCAAAGUCACUGAGCUAGGAAACAGAACAAAGACACCAACCCUCCUUUGCUGACUCCAAGUCUGGUGAUUUUCCCACCGCGGUGCCUGAUUCCCUCAGCCCGGUACCCAUCACGCUGUCUUCCGUGGGUCUCUGUGCCUCGGUUUCCACACUGCGUUGUUGUAGAAAAUGUGCGUGGUGAGUGUUGAACACAUCUGAGCCGUCACGCUCUGCCGAGUGAGUCCCGGGUUUUCCCACCGAAGCCCGGUCUCCUUCCUCCGUCCUUCCCCUGAACCUGCACCCUCGAUGCUGAAGGAGUCCGGAUCCGUGGGCCCCCUGGGCCUCUAAGUCCUUGUGCAUCUCAGAACCCGUCGCCUGUCUGGCCACACCGUCCUCACUGACCGGGUCUCCUGCACUGAGCUCGUCCAUUAGGAUGGACAGAACCAACGCGAAGUAUUUACACUGGUGCUGGCGGGGGAGGGAGAGAGUGUGUGUGUGCACGUGCAUGUGUGUGUUUAAAUGUGACUUCGGCAGAUGGCUGACCUGAUCAGUCCCGUCCCUGAAAUGGUGAGUCAGUCGGUCAGUACACUGCGGGUGACAUGAGGACGGAGUCUGGGGCGGCCUGGGUCCGCUGUUUCUCCGCUGGCCAUUACGAGUCGGCUUUCGUUUCUUCGUCUAUUAGAAGCCCUCAGUGUCUGGCACGGCUUCCCCAGUGCUUAUUACAUGUUAGUCACUUGCAAACAGUCGCUCCCUGUCUUUGCAAUAAUCUGGAGAUGCAGAUAUUUUGCCUGUCUCACAAAUGGCAAAACCAGAGCUGAGAGAAGGGUAAAACCUUGCCCCAUGUCUCACAGCCUUUCCAUGUUAGAGCAGAAGCUUGAGCCCAGCUCUGACACCAAAGCCGACUCACGUAUCCCCAGCCACGCCUUCCUUUCCAAGGACGAUGUCAAUGAGGUUUGCAGACCCCCAGGUAGUGGCCAAGGGGCUCCUGAGCGCAGAGGGAGAGGAAAACCUGCCGGUCACUUAGGCCCGCCGCCCGGCGCUCACAGCUGAGCAUGUUGCAAAGUGGUCAGUUGUGACAGGUACCUUUGUGCUGCAUCGAGUGGUUUGCCUUCACCCCGAUUUCAGCUUCAUUUUAUCUUUGUCUUGGCUCAGGCCGCCGUAACAAAGCACCAUAGACUGACCAUAGGCUUAUAAACAGCAGAGAUCUGUGUCUCACGGUUCUGGAGCUUGGAAGUCCAAGAUCAGGGUACCAGCCUCUUGUCGCUGCACCCUCAUCACGAGAAACCAGGAGUGUUUCCCUCCAGGACCUCCAGGUGCCGUUCAGACCUCAAAGCAGCCAGCGCACCUCCUAGAAUUCAGUCUUCAGACCCUGUCCGCUCCCCGGGGACGGAGAGUGGGACCGGAAGUUCCAGGCUUUAAUUGUGGUUUGGUCUUUCUUCUGAGCAGCCCCAGCCUGAUGCUUAUCCGGGCGCCACCAAGAGGCACCCUUAGAACAAAAGACUGUCCGAUCACCCGGGGAAGCCCCGAGGAGUUUAGGGCUCUGCGUCAGGAACGUGGGCCAAAGAUCCUAUUUCUGUUUCUCACUGUGUCACUCUAAUAAAGCAAAUAUCCAUGAGCCACAGCAAGUUGAAGAAGUAGGAGCAGCCAGUAUCUUAGAAGUCCUUCGUGUGUCUCUUCUGGAAGUGCCUGCAAACACCACUCUCUUGCCUCUUGUGACCGACCCUUCCUUGCGUACCCUUACGUGGUUCCGUCUUAUGCGUGUGCCCACGAACAAGUGUACCUGGUCUGGACCUCAUGUCAGUGAAGUCAUACUGUCAGUGUUUAUCCUUGACGUGCUUCUUUCAUGACACACCGUGAGGCUUAUCCCAGGGGACGAACGUAGGUGUCAUUCGGGACUUUUCACUGCAGAGUAGUAGUCCGUCCUGUAACUAGGUAUCUCGUAUCUGUCUUGCUGCAUAUUGUUUUCAACGUGGAUUGCAAAGUUUGCCUGGGUAUGUGUUACCCAUCUCCUGUUGUACACGUGCAAGAGUUUGAACUUUUUGGAUGUGAGGUUUUUCUAAUAAGGAUUUGUAUUUUUUUCUAU